rnacentral:rRNA from 1 species
UACGGAGGAUGCAAGCGUUAUCCGGAAUGAUUGGGCGUAAAGCGUCCGCAGGUGGCUAUGUAAGUCUGCUGUUAAAGAGUCUGGCUCAACCAGAUAAAGGCAGUGGAAACUACAUGGCUAGAGUGCGUUCGGGGCAGAGGGAAUUCCUGGUGUAGCGGUGAAAUGCGUAGAGAUCAGGAGGAACACCGGUGGCGAAGGCGGCUUCCUGGACCGACACUGACGCUGAGGCGCGAAAGCUAGGGGAGCAAACGGG